UCCUGCCUACGGGAGGCAGCAGUGAGGAAUAUUGGUCAAUGGGCGCGAGCCUGAACCAGCCAAGUCGCGUGAGGGAAGACGGUCCUAUGGAUUGUAAACCUCUUUUGCCGGGGAGCAAAGUGCCGCACGUGUGCGGUUUGGAGAGUACCCGGAGAAAAAGCAUCGGCUAACUCCGUGCCAGCAGCCGCGGUAAUACGGAGGAUGCGAGCGUUAUCCGGAUUUAUUGGGUUUAAAGGGUGCGUAGGCGGACGCUUAAGUCAGCGGUAAAAUUGCGGGGCUCAACCUCGUCGAGCCGUUGAAACUGG
rnacentral:rRNA from 1 species